rnacentral:sRNA from 1 species
GCCUCCCGCUAGGCGGGAGGUUCAAAGAAGCUUAACGCUAUGCAUAUGUUAUAGAAACUCCUUUUGAUUUGCUAACAUUUCGUUGCGGUCUGGCAACUGCAACAGGAAGCAAAUCAAAA